AGUGAACGCUGGCGGUAGGCCUAACACAUGCAAGUCGAACGGCAGCACAGUAAGAGCUUGCUCUUACGGGUGGCGAGUGGCGGACGGGUGAGGAAUACAUCGGAAUCUACUUUUUCGUGGGGGAUAACGUAGGGAAACUUACGCUAAUACCGCAUACGACCUACGGGUGAAAGCAGGGGAUCUUCGGACCUUGCGCGAUUGAAUGAGCCGAUGUCGGAUUAGCUAGUUGGCGGGGUAAAGGCCCACCAAGGCGACGAUCCGUAGCUGGUCUGAGAGGAUGAUAAGCCACACUGGAACUGAGACACGGACCAGACUCCUACGGGAGGGAGCAGUGGGGAAUAUUGGACAAUGGGCGCAAGCCUGAUCCAGCCAUACCGAGUGGGUGAAGAAGGCCUUCGGGUUGGAAAGCCCUUUUGUUGGGAAAGAAAAGCAGCAGGUUAAUACCCCGCUGUUCUGACGGUACCCAAAGAAUAAGCACCGGCUAACUUCGUG
rnacentral:rRNA from 1 species